rnacentral:rRNA from 1 species
AACGAACGCUGGCGGCAUGCCUAACACAUGCAAGUCGAACGAAGUCUUCGGACUUAGUGGCGCACGGGUGCGUAACGCGUGGGAAUCUGCCCUUGGGUACGGAGUAACUCAGAGAGAUUUGUGCUAAUACCGUAUAAUGACUUCGGUCCAAAGAUUUAUCGCCCAAGGAUGAGCCCGCGUAAGAUUAGCUAGUUGGUGGGGUAAAAGCCUACCAAGGCGACGAUCUUUAGCUGGUCUGAGAGGAUGAUCAGCCACACUGGGACUGAGACACGGCCCAGACUCCUACGGGAGGCAGCAGUGGGGAAUAUUGGACAAUGGGCGAAAGCCUGAUCCAGCAAUGCCGCGUGAGUGAUGAAGGCCCUAGGGUUGUAAAGCUCUUUUACCCGGGAUGAUAAUGACAGUACCGGGAGAAUAAGCUCCGGCUAACUCCGUGCCAGCAGCCGCGGUAAUACGGAGGGAGCUAGCGUUGUUCGGAAUUACUGGGCGUAAAGCGCGCGGUA